UAAUCAACUGACAGCCCAAAAGUUUUUGCUGCAUUUAGACUGAAGAAGCUGCUUAAGAGGUGAUAAGCAGCUGGUUAUAUCCCUCUGCCGAGGUUCAAUCUGCGUCGCCUGAAUUUUAAACAGAUGUCUUUUUUUGCUUUUGAACCUGUGAUUCUGUCAGGUGGAUGAGCUGCGGUGGAAAACACACGGCGUGCCCAUUUCUAGCUUUUCAACGCAGCCACUUUGAAGCUCGAGCUGUGAAAGUCUCUCCGGGGAGAUGAGUGCGCCUGAUGCCCCAUCGCACCUGCUCGCUCACACAGCUCAAUCAUUCACACAUUCACCGCCAUGCUUCUGUGAACAUCUGUUGCAAAGCACAUAAGGGGGCUCUACAGUGUGAUAUCGCUCUUCACCAUAGGUUCGCUUACAGUUCAACACAGAAUCUGUCGAUCUGAAGGAUCUAACAGCGUGUGCUUGGAAUAUACCAUUCGUACAGAUGUUGGACAUCUAAAAAUAAAUAUUACGGCUAAAUCAUUAUUUGUGCAUUCAUUUGACAUUCGAUUGACUGUGCGUUUCUCUUUACAUGUAGCUCAAUGGAAAGUUCUAGCAUUUUUUUAAAUAUCAAAUUUGAGAUUGUCACACUACUCUCUCUCUCACUCUACACACUGCAUCGUGUACAUGGGAACCAAAUUGCAGCACUUAGCCACAGGCCGAGCUCUUUGCUCAUUGCAGAGUGCGGUUUGUCGAGCAGGAUCAGGUUAUUUUUCCAGCUAUUGGGGUAAUUUUCUUGUUUUGUAACCUGUGUUCAGUGUCCUCUUUGACAGGCACUUUUGCAACAGAGCCUGAUUUGUUCUUGCUUCAGAUGAACACAGAGCAGCAGUAAGUACCACAUGAAGUGUGUUAUACAAUUGAUCAAAACAUACAAGAUGCGUACACGAUGGUGGGUAAAUAAUAAUUAUAAUAAUAAUAAUAGUAAUAAUAAUAAUCAGCAAGCCAGAAUUCAUUUGUAUUAAAAGACAAGAAAGUUAACGCUAGUUAAUGCUAGUGUAAGCAUUAGAGAUUUUUUGCUAAUUUUUUAGGGAGAGCAUUGUGGCUUCAUCGACGUGUGUGGUACAUUAGUGGUUAAGGCAUUGGUCUUUGGAGCCGAAAGUCUUGAGUUAAAAUCCCAGCCACACCAGUGCCACCCCUGGGCCACUUAGCAAGGCUCAAGCUACUCAGUUGUAUGAAUGAGAUGAAAUGUAAGUUACUUUGGAUAAGGGUGUCUGCCAAAUUCCAUAAAUGUAAGUGUUUUUUAUUUUGUUAAAGGAAAAAAAUGGAGUUGGUGAUGGAACUGCUGUUUAUAGCUACUACAAUGUCAUAUAAUAUUCUUAUAAAGAACAU